GGUUAAGCGACUAAGCGUACACGGUGGAUGCCCUGGCAGUCAGAGGCGAUGAAGGACGUGCUAAUCUGCGAUAAGCGUCGGUAAGGUGAUAUGAACCGUUAUAACCGGCGAUUUCCGAAUGGGGAAACCCAGUGUGUUUCGACACACUAUCAUUAACUGAAUCCAUAGGUUAAUGAGGCGAACCGGGGGAACUGAAACAUCUAAGUACCCCGAGGAAAAGAAAUCAACCGAGAUUCCCCCAGUAGCGGCGAGCGAACGGGGAGCAGCCCAGAGCCUGAAUCAGUGUGUGUGUUAGUGGAAGCGUCUGGAAAGGCGCGCGAUACAGGGUGACAGCCCCGUACACAAAAAUGCACAUACUGUGAGCUCGAUGAGUAGGGCGGGACACGUGGUAUCCUGUCUGAAUAUGGGGGGACCAUCCUCCAAGGCUAAAUACUCCUGACUGACCGAUAGUGAACCAGUACCGUGAGGGAAAGGCGAAAAGAACCCCGGCGAGGGGAGUGAAAAAGAACCUGAAACCGUGUACGUACAAGCAGUGGGAGCCUCUUAAUGGGGUGACUGCGUACCUUUUGUAUAAUGGGUCAGCGACUUAUAUUCUGUAGCAAGGUUAACCGAAUAGGGGAGCCGAAGGGAAACCGAGUCUUAACUGGGCGUUAAGUUGCAGGGUAUAGACCCGAAACCCGGUGAUCUAGCCAUGGGCAGGUUGAAGGUUGGGUAACACUAACUGGAGGACCGAACCGACUAAUGUUGAAAAAUUAGCGGAUGACUUGUGGCUGGGGGUGAAAGGCCAAUCAAACCGGGAGAUAGCUGGUUCUCCCCGAAAGCUAUUUAGGUAGCGCCUCGUGAAUUCAUCUCCGGGGGUAGAGCACUGUUUCGGCAAGGGGGUCAUCCCGACUUACCAACCCGAUGCAAACUGCGAAUACCGGAGAAUGUUAUCACGGGAGACACACGGCGGGUGCUAACGUCCGUCGUGAAGAGGGAAACAACCCAGACCGCCAGCUAAGGUCCCAAAGUCAUGGUUAAGUGGGAAACGAUGUGGGAAGGCCCAGACAGCCAGGAUGUUGGCUUAGAAGCAGCCAUCAUUUAAAGAAAGCGUAAUAGCUCACUGGUCGAGUCGGCCUGCGCGGAAGAUGUAACGGGGCUAAACCAUGCACCGAAGCUGCGGCAGCGACACUAUGUGUUGUUGGGUAGGGGAGCGUUCUGUAAGCCUG
rnacentral:rRNA from 1 species